rnacentral:tRNA from 1 species
UGGCAGGUAGCUCAACUGGUCGAGCGCCCGAUUGUUAAUCGGGAUGAUGCUGGUUCGAAUCCGGCCCUGUCAGCCA